GACGAACGCUGGCGGCGUGCUUAACACAUGCAAGUCGAACGGAAAGGCCCUGCUUGUGUGGGACGCUCGAGUGGAGAACGGGUGAGUAACACGUGAGUAACCUGCCCUUGACUUUGGGAACACUUCAGGAAACUGGGGCUAAUAGCGGAUAGGAGCUCCUGCUGCAUGGUGGGGGGGGGAGUGUUUCGGCGGUUGGGGAUGGACUCGCGGCUUAUCAGCUUGUUGGUGGGGUAGUGGCUUACCAAGGCUUUGACGGGUAGCCGGCCUGAGAGGGUGACCGGCCACAUUGGGACUGGGAUACGGCCAAGACUCCUCCGGGGGGCAGCAGUGGGGAAUAUUGCACAAUGGGCGGAAGCCUAAUGCAGCAACGCCGCGUGCGGGAUGACGGCCUUCGGGUUGUAACCCGCUUUCGCCUGUGACGAAGCGUGAGUGACGGUAAUGGGUAAAGAAGCACCGGCUAACUACGUG
rnacentral:rRNA from 1 species